UUGAACUCAGAACCUCCAGAAGAGCAGCCAGUGCUCUUAACCUCUGAGCCAUCUCUCCAGCCCAUGGUGCUGUAACGUAUUUUAACAGUAUUGUUAAAAUUCAGCAUCAUUGAAUCUGAGGUACUACUGACCUCCCCAAGGAUCCCCACUAAGAGUCCUGGACCAGUGGGUAACAGUGAGUAUCACCAAGCCUAAGGACCUGACUUCGAUUUCUGGAACCUACAUGGUAGAAAGAGAAAACGGAUUCAUAUAAGUUGUCCUUUGACCUAACACAUAUGAUGAGAUAAGAUUUAAUUUUAAAAAAUUUGUAUCCCAAAGCUUCCCAGUAAUGCACCUGCUUGAUCAGUUCGAGCUGCAAUGAAAAAAUCCCUUCAGCCAGAGGGGACAGGAACAGUAACCGGAAAUUAUCUCCCAGUCUGGACGCUCUUCCUGGACCCCUCCAGCCAGCUGUGAGUGAGCCUGCAGGGAGCUGACACGGUGGCCACACAUCCUGUCCAACCGUGGCAGUCACCAGCCUCCCUCAUGAUGGGACAUGGGGACCAGAGCGCUUCUGGACACAGCCUGAGGGAGGAAGGAGUUUUCCAUCCAUCACGAAGAGGACAGGGGGCAACAGAGGAGAGCCUCUCAGAUCACAGGAAGCUCAGGAGGGGACAAGGCCAGCACCUCAAGGGCUCCUUCUGUCCCCAUCAUGCUGUCCUGGUCACCAGCGUGCAGCGUGAUGCGGUCCACUCUCAAGGCAGGUCUCUUACUUGGGUUAAUGCUUUCUGGGAAUUCCCUCAGGGACACACUCAGAACCAUUUGACAGGUCAUUCUAGAUCCUUCUGUACUGACAAGGGACACAGCCAAAGGAACUGAAAGCAAGGUCUCACAGAGACACUUUACGGUGUGUUCUUGGUCACUACUGUGUGAGUGUGUUGGGGGGGCAUCAUUUGCGCAACAGGGACCUACUUGGUGCAGAUCAACUGUAAAAUCAGGUGUGACUAAAAUGGGGGAAAUCUUACAUUCCCAGUUUUUGCCACAAUAAGAAGCAUUUUAAAAUAGAUUACCUAAAAAGUCAGGACAGCAAAGGCAUAAACUCUGGCCACAAGAGGGCGCUCUGCACUCAUUCCUAUUUCAUCCCCCUGCCUGGCCUGCAUUUUCUAGAGGGGUGAGGGACCUGGUCCCUGCAGGUGGAUAGACCUCUGUCUUUCCCUUGGCCAACCUCUUUCAGAGGUGCCAAACAUCAAGCACGCCUGGAUCACAUUAACUAUAUAUCUGGCUCUUUCUGGGAGUCCUGGGGGUGUGUAAAGUCUGCCACAAUGCCCACUGGGCUUAGAGUCCCUGGUUCACAGAAUGUACUAGAAAUGUCCAGUUUCUACCAGCAUCGCAUGCCCAGCACUGGCUUGGUAGAACUUCCAGGUCCUGGGUCAUACAAUUCCAGGAGUAACUGAGGAAGUCAACUCUAGGUCUGGACUCCUCUAGGGACCCAGGAGUGUCCUUUUCUCUCUCUUUCUCUCUCCUCCCACCGGCCUGCUUCAUUCUCUCCCUCUGCUCAGUCAUCUUCAGGACAGGCCCAUUCUUGGGUCCGCUGACCUCACUGCCAUUCCAAAUGGCCCCAAGGAUCGAACUCAGGUCAUGCGGCUUGGCAGCGAAUGCCUUCACCCACUGAGCCAUCUCGCCAGCCCCAAGCCAGCUGGGGCACUCAGAAUACAGACCCCCUGACUCAGCCUGCCUCGGUGCCACUCUUUCAAUCCCAGGAAAACAACCUCAGUUUCUGAGGUGAGGACUGUGCUCUCGCCAUCUUUGAGAACACUUGGGAGGGGCUCCUGAUCACACGAGGGAGCCCAGCAUUCACAGAUGGACGCUGGGCUGCAUGUGGACUUCAGGGUAGGCACGGGGUCUCGUCACCCUGCUCCCCCUGCCUCUUGUAGGGAAACACUGAUCCCAGGCCACAGCUUAGACGUGUAACCCUCAACAAGACGCCUCCUUGUCACUGAGUGGGCCUCACAGGUCUUCUGGGGUCCCUCUGGUCCACCAUACCCAGCCCUAUGGCCUCAGGAAGUUCCCUGACUUCCAAGGGCCCCAAAGACAUAAAAAUUGACCACAGCCUGAGCACUUAAAGUUUUCACAAUCUCGGAAGGACAGAACACAGCUGGUCCCAGCUCUUGACGGACAGAGAGGGGCUGAGAAGAGUCCAGAAGCUGCACCCACCCUGUUCUGUGAGUCAGGGACAGAAGCCACAAGCACAUGCUCCUAGGGACUGUGCCCUGCGACAGGACCCCUCCUGGAACCACAGGUGGCUGACUCAUCACUGCUUUUCACCCAUCUUCUGAGCCAUGAAUGGCCUUCGCUGUGCCAGAUCCCAUUCACUAGUCACUCAGCAAACACCAUGGUGGCAUGUUGCCUUGGACGGCGCAAAGGCUUUUGGGAAUCAAUUCCCAGCUCUGCUAAAUUCUUGUGGGAGCUUGGACAGAUCAGGUGACCUCUCUGCACUUCCAGAGAUUUUUUAUUUCCUGCCUGUAAAAUAAGGGCAUGGUCUUACCUCCAGGGGCUAUAUGUAACAGACACUCAAAUAGAAUCCAACAUGCAGCGAGCUCAGGCCACAGGGUGUGGAUAUAGCAGGGGCCCUUCGGUACCUCUUGAGCAGGAAUCAGUUUCAUGUAAGUGGUUAAGCAGCUGAUGGCGAGAAUAAAUCCAGGAAGACUGCCUGGAGGCAGGGGUGCUUGCUGCGGGGCUCUAAGCAACAUAAAGCAAAAGGCCCUAGAUUGGGUUCCUCUUUCAUUUUUUUUUUUUUUGCUACUAAAUCCCUGUGUGACUUUGAGCCAACGUCUUCCUCUCCUGAGGACCUCAGAGUUCCACCUCUGUCACAAGACAGGGUCGUUACAGCUUGGUUACAAAAGAUUGUAAAUGGCUUUCUUCUCUGAAAAAUGACGCCACAGCUGUGUCUCCUUGAUGCUGGGUUUUAUGCCCCUUCCCCACCCUCAGGAUGUCAUUCGAGGACCCUGAACUAAAAUUUCUGUGCCUCCCAAUCUUGUAGGAGGCCGUACCUGCAGUUUGGAGGCUGCCCUCCCACAGGCCACUGACCUCGAGCUAGUAGAGCCAGGAUCUAUCUAGGAGCUGGCCCUGAAGGACCGAGGGGAACCUGGGGAGGAGAGGGACUACUCCAGUUGACCCAGUUUGUUCUGGGAAAAAUGCCCAGUGUAGCCUGCUCUUGACCUUACCCCCCAGGGAGGCAGAGGAGCAAGCUUGGGCCACUCUGGGCUGAAUCCCAAACAGACUCACAAACCCUGGAUCACAGCUCCCCUUCCCAGACAGCCUGGGCAGCCACACCCUUAUCUUCCAGUUUGCCAGAAGACAAAGGGCCCACCAUAGUGUCCAUUAACAACUGAACUGCUGCCCCAAGUGCUCGGCCAACAUUUAUGGGGCACCUAUUGUUUGCAGGUGGCUGCAAGGAUCUUGGUUUGAGGCCAUCCGUCCCUCCCUCUCUUCCUGCCUCCAGGCCUGGUCCCUUGCCUGGAGGAUGCCCUUCCCAUCCCUCUGGCCUGGAAGAGCAGGUGGCUAUCCGGGAAGCGGCAUGGUUUAGCUAACUGGAUCCUGAAACCAAACUAGAGCUGGAUGCAGGUCCAGUUGCUGUUCAGGCUCUAACGAUGUGGGACUCGAUUUGGUUUUCCCAAACAUGAUGUCUCUGUGUAGUCCUGGCUGUCCUGGAAAUUGCUCUGUAGACCAGCCUGGCCCCAGAAUCAGGGACCCA